UUGCUUAAAGAAAUUAUUUUAAGUAAAUCCUGCUCAAUGUAAUUAAUAAAUAGCCGCAGAAUUACUGUGCUAAGGUAGCAUAAUCAUUAGUUUUCUAAUUAGAAACUAGAAUGAAAGGAAUAACAAUUCAAUAGCUUUUUUCAAAAUAAAAUUAUAAAUUUUACUAAAUAUAAAAAUAUAUUUAUGAAUAAGAAAGACGACAAGACCCUAUCGAACUUAACUUAAGUUAAGCUGGGGCAGCUAAUUAAUUAAAAUUUUAAUUUAAAUAGUUAAAAAAAAGACCCAUUACUAAUGAUUAAUUGAACAAGUUACCGUAGGGAUAACAGCGUUAUAUUUUUUAAAAGUUCUUAUUUAAAAAAAAGAUUGCGACCUCGAUGUUGAAUUAUUUGACUUUAAAAAGCAAAAUUUUUAAAAGUAGGUCUGUUCGACCUUUAAAUUUUUACA
rnacentral:rRNA from 1 species